rnacentral:rRNA from 1 species
GGUGCUGCAUGGCUGUCGUCAGCUCGUGUCGUGAGAUGUUGGGUUAAGUCCCGCAACGAGCGCAACCCUUAAGCUUAGUUGCCAUCAUUAAGUUGGGCACUCUAGGUUGACUGCCGGUGACAAACCGGAGGAAGGUGGGGAUGACGUCAAAUCAUCAUGCCCCUUUUGAUUUGGGCUACACACGUGCUACAAUGGAUAAUACAAAGGGCAGCGAAUCCGCGAGGCCAAGCAAAUCCCAUAAAAUUAUUCUCAGUUCGGAUUGCAGUCUGCAACUCGACUACAUGAAGCUGGAAUCGCUAGUAAUCGUAGAUCAGCAUGCUACGGUGAAUACGUUCCCGGGUCUUGUACACAC